GUUGUGGCUCAGUGGUGGAGUGCUUGUCUAGCACAUGCAAGGCCCUGGGUUCAAUCCUCAGCACGACA
rnacentral:tRNA from 1 species